CUGAAUGUGAGAAUGGGUUUGGUUUUUGCAUCAUUUCACGCACACUUCCUCACAUUUAAUAUGCAGUGAGCUUGUUGGCAAACCGAAAUGUCAGUCCAAGAUUACCAUCUUGUUAAAUAGAGUAUUUUUGGUUUGAACCAAUAUACCGCGUUUACAAGGAGAAUUGAAUCCGAAUUGAAUCAGGAUUGAGCGCCGUAUAGACCUGGAUCGGAUCGAAAUAGGAUUACUCGAUCCAAUCCCACUGAAAGAGGUGAAUCGAAUCGAAAAUUUGUUUGUAAACCCGAAUCGGGGAAUCGAUUUAUUGGUGUGUGAGGUUUUGCUUGUGUGCGUGCGAUAAGUUUAUUCCCUCUUGUUUGUUCUAAGCAAAAUUACUUCAUUUAAAUGGAGUAUUUUAGGUUCUAAGCUGUAUUUAAUUUGGCGCUCGUCUUUAUGUUGAGAACAUUGUUAUAAAAUUUGAUAUUUAUUUGAAAUUUAUUCACGUAGCAGUACGCACACAAAUAAAACCCAAAUGCCAUUUCGAUUCCAUUUGAAUUCGAUUCCUCGAUUCAGUGCCACCAUAUACCUGGAUCGAAAUCUCAAUUCGAUUCGAUUCGAUUCCUCGAUCUCAUCUCGUAACCAGGGUAAUAAAGAAAUAUAUCUACCAAGAGAAAGGACCGGUACCCCUCUUGCUUGAAACACCAUCAAAUUUUAUUUGAGGUGAACUCUCUCAAAUGUGCGUGGUUAAAAAAAAGGCAAAAUGUCAUAUUGAGUUCUUGUCAAAAAAUACAGUUGCACAAUUUCGAAUUCAAAAACAUUCAAUUUGAGAAUCUACAAAUCAAAAACCUUAACGAUCAAGAGCUACAAAAGCAUUUAAUUGAAAAAACGACAGACCAGGAACCAGAAGAAAACAAUGAGACGUAUUCUACUCGGAUCCCAAGUAGCUAUGGAUUGCUCCAAUAAUAUAAUUUACUACCAACUCAAGAAGAUAUUCAUAAGAAUAAAAAUCGACUUUAUUAGCAUCUCCCUAGUGUUUUCAUUUCGUUUGCUGCCGUUUACAAACCAUUAUACAGAAAGAAAUUUCUCUCAAGAAAUUUGGAUCGUUUGCUGAAAACAAGGGUAUUAGGCCCCAGGUG